rnacentral:rRNA from 1 species
AUUGAACGCUGGCGGCAUGCUCUACACAUGCAAGUCGAACGGUAACAGGCCGCAAGGUUCUGACGAGUGGCGAACGGGUGCGUAAUGCAUCGGAACGUGCCCAGUCGUGGGGGAUAACUACUCGAAAGAGUAGCUAAUACCGCAUACGAUCUAUGGAUGAAAGCGGGGGACCGUAAGGCCUCGCGCGAUUGGAGCGGCCGAUGUCAGAUUAGGUAGUUGGUGGGGUGAAGGCUCACCAAGCCAACGAUCUGUAGCUGGUCUGAGAGGACGACCAGCCACACUGGGACUGAGACACGGCCCAGACUCCUACGGGAGGCAGCAGUGGGGAAUUUUGGACAAUGGGCGCAAGCCUGAUCCAGCAAUGCCGCGUGCAGGAAGAAGGCCUUCGGGUUGUAAACUGCUUUUGUACGGAACGAAACGGCUCUGGUUAAUACCCGGGGCUAAUGACGGUACCGUAAGAAUAAGCACCGGCUAACUACGUG